ACGGGCACAUCACGAUUAAACACAUGUUCCCGUACGAUCACCGAAGUUAAGCAACGUCAAGCCGUGUCAGUAACUAGAUGGGCGACCGCUUGGGAAUACCAGGUUCUGUA